GACGAACGCUGGCGGCGUGCUUAACACAUGCAAGUCGAGCGGAAAGGCCCUUCGGGGUACUCGAGCGGCGAACGGGUGAGUAACACGUGAGUAACCUGCCCCAGACUUUGGGAUAACCCUCGGAAACGGGGGCUAAUACCGGAUACGACACAGCUUCGCAUGGGGUCUGUGUGGAAAGUUUUUCGGUUUGGGAUGGGCUCGCGGCCUAUCAGCUUGUUGGUGGGGUGAUGGCCUACCAAGGCGACGACGGGUAGCCGGCCUGAGAGGGCGACCGGCCACACUGGGACUGAGACACGUCCCAGACUCCUACGGGAGGCAGCAGUGGGGAAUAUUGCACAAUGGGCGGAAGCCUGAUGCAGCGACGCCGCGUGAGGGAUGACGGCCUUCGGGUUGUAAACCUCUUUCAGCAGGGACGAAGCGUAAGUGACGGUACCUGCAGAAGAAGCGCCGGCCAACUACGUG
rnacentral:rRNA from 1 species